ensembl:ncRNA lncRNA:CR44330 long non-coding RNA:CR44330
GGCACUUCAGCUGAAAUCUUCGCAUUUUAAUCAACUUAAUCAACCUUGCAAUUACAACCAUUGAAAUGGGUAAUAUUUUUAGGCUUCGAAGACAACAUAGAACUGACAAUCCUAUGGAAAACCAAAUUGAAAUUUCCGACGAGCCAGGAAUCUAUAGCUUAAGAAGGACAAGUCCCGAUGAAAAUGGGAACAUUUUUGUGAAUCAUGAGAUAAACCAUGCUGCUUGGAGUAACCCAGCCCCAAUUCGAAAUGGGAGCUAUCACAGGACCACUAGACCUGGUUUUGGUGGUCAUCAUUCAUCGGUGCAACCAAUCUAUGAGGAUUCGGACCAAGAUGAGGGUGUCGAGGACUUGAAUUCCGUAUCUGACAGGGAGAACUUUGAAGUCGAAUAAUGCUAAUAAUAUGAAAUGUUAAAUC